rnacentral:lncRNA from 1 species
UGAAAGUGUGUGUGUGCCAUGUGGAGGUGUGCGUGUGCAGGUGAAGGUGUGCGUGUGCAGGUGAAGGUGUGCGUGUGCAGGUGGAGGUGUGCGUGUGCAUGUGGAGGGGUGCGUGUGCAUGUGGAGGUGUGUGUGUGCAGGUGGAGGUGUGCGUGUGCAUGUGGAUGUGUGUGUGUGCUCAGGUGGAAGUGUGCGUGUGCAUGUGGAGGUGUGUGUGCAGGUGGAGGUGUGUGUGUGCAGGUGGAAGUGUGCAUGCAUGUGGAAGUGUGCGUGUGCAUAUGGAUGUGUGUGCAUGUGAAGGUUGUGUGCAUGUGGAGGUGUGCGUGCGCAUGUGGAGGUGUGCGUGUUCAUGUGAAGGUGUGUGUGUGCAUGUGAAGGUAUGUGUGUGCAGGUGGAGGUGUGUGUCCCUACGGAGGUGUGCAUCUGCAUGUGAAGGUGUGCGUGUGCAUGUGAAGGUGUGUGUGUGCAUGUGUGUGUGUGCAGGUGGAGGUACGUGUAUGCAGGUGGAGGUGUAUGUGUGCAGUGGAAGUGUACGUGUGCAUGUGGAGGUGUGUGUGCGCAUGUGGUGUGCGUGUGCAUAUGGAGGUGUGCGUGUGCAUGUGAAGGUGUGCAUGUGAAGGUGUGUGUUCAGGUGGAGGUACGUGUGUGCAGGUGGAGGUGUAUGUGUGCAGGUGGAAGUGUACGUGUGCAUGUGGAGGUGUGUGCGCGCAUGUGAAGGUGUGUGUGUAUAUGGAGGUGUGCGUGUGCAUAUGCAGGUGUGCGUGUGCAUGUGAAGGUGUGUGUGUGCAGGUGGAGGUACGUGUGUGCAGGUGGAAGUGUACGUGUGCAUGUGGAGGUGUGUGCGCGCAUGUGAAGGUGUGUGUGUAUAUGGAGGUGUGCGUGUGCAUAUGCAGGUGUGCGUGUGCAUGUGAAGGUGUGUGUGUGCAGGUGGAGGUACGUGUGUGCAGGUGGAAGUGUAUGUGUGCAGGUGGAAGUGUACGUGUGCAUGUGGAGGUGUGUGUGCACAUGUGAAGGUGUGUGUAUAUGGAGGUGUGUGUGUGCAUGUGGAGGUGUGUGUGGCAGGGAGGGGAGUGUAUUAAUCUCCUAGGGCUGCUAUGACAAAGUACCAC